rnacentral:rRNA from 1 species
GGUUUGAUUAUGGCUCAGAUUGAACGCUGGCGGGAUGCCGGCUGGACACGGCCGAACGGCAAAGCCACGGAUCGGUCUGGUGGUUAAAGCGGCGAACGGGUGAGGUAAUGUAUCGGAACGUUCUGCAGUGGGGAUAUCCGCGAAAGGCAGCGAAUACGCAUGAUAUCUUCGGGGAAAAGCGGGGACCUCGCCUCGCACUAUUAGAGGCCGAUACCGGAUUAGCUAGUUGGUGGGGUAACGGCUCAUCAAGGGCGACGAUCCGUAGCUGUUUGAGAGACGACCAGCCACACUGGGACUGAGACACGGCCCAGACUCCUACGGAGGCAGCAGUGGUAACUUCGGGACAAUGGGGAAACCCCUGAUCCAGCCAUCUCCACAGGCGAUGAAGGCCUUUCGGGUUGUAAAGACCUCUUGGCAGUGGGAGAAACGGCACGGGAUAAUACCCCGUGCAACUGACGGUACCUGCAGAAUAAGCACCGGCUAACUACGCCAGCAGCCGCGGUAAUACGUAGGGAAAAAGCGUUAAUCGGAAUUACUGGGCGUAAGUGUGCGCAGGCGGUUCGGAAAGAAAGAUGCAAAUCCCAGAGCUAACUUUGGAACUGCAUUUUUAACUACCGAGCUAGAGUGUGUCAGAGGGAGGUGGAAUUCCGCGUGUAGCAGUGAAAUGCGUAGAUAUGCGGAGGAACACCGAUGGCGAAGGCAGCCUCCUGGGAUAACACUGACGCUCAUGCACGAAAGCGUGGGGAGCAAACAGGAUUAGAUACCCUGGUAGUCUCACGCCCUAAACGAUGUCAAUCAGCUGUUGGGGCUUCGGGCCUGGUAGCGCAGCUAACGCGUGAAGUUGACCGCCUGGGGAGUACGGUCGCAAGAUUAAAACUCAAAGGAAUUGACGGGGACUCGCACAAGCGGUGGAUGAUGUGGAUUAAUUCGAUGCAACGCGAAAACCUUACCUACCCUUGACAUGUCUGAAAUCCCGAAGAGAUUUGGGAGUGCUCGCAAGAGAACCGGAACACAGGUGCUGCAUGGCUGUCGUCAGCUCGUGUCGUGAGAUGUUGGGUUAAGUCCUGCAACGAGCGCAACCCUUGUCAUUAGUUACGAAAGGGCACUCCACGAGACUGCCGGUGACAAACCGGAGGAAGGUGGGGAUGACGUCAAGUCCUCAUGGCUCCCAGGGUAGGCUUCACACGGGCCAAGUACAAUGGUCGGGACAGAGUGGUCGCCAACCCGCGAGGGGGGAGCCAAUCCCAGAAACCGAUCGUAGUCCGGAUCGCAGUCUGCAACUCGACUGCGUGAAGUCGGAAUCGCUAGUAAUCGCGGAUCAGCAUGUCGCGGUGAAUACGUUCCCGGUACACACCGCCCGUCACACCAUGGGAGUGGGUUUUACCAGAAGUAGUUAGCCUAACCGUAAGGUGCGAUUACCACGGUAGGAUUCAUGACUGGGGUGAAGUCGUGUAACAAGGUAG